rnacentral:rRNA from 1 species
AGCGACUAAGCGUACACGGUGGAUGCCCUGGCAGUCAGAGGCGAUGAAGGACGUGCUAAUCUGCGAUAAGCGUCGGUAAGGUGAUAUGAACCGUUAUAACCGGCGAUUUCCGAAUGGGGAAACCCAGUGUGUUUCGACACACUAUCAUUAACUGAAUCCAUAGGUUAAUGAGGCGAACCGGGGGAACUGAAACAUCUAAGUACCCCGAGGAAAAGAAAUCAACCGAGAUUCCCCCAGUAGCGGCGAGCGAACGGGGAGCAGCCCAGAGCCUGAAUCAGUGUGUGUGUUAGUGGAAGCGUCUGGAAAGGCGCGCGAUACAGGGUGACAGCCCCGUACACAAAAAUGCACAUGCUGUGAGCUCGAUGAGUAGGGCGGGACACGUGGUAUCCUGUCUGAAUAUGGGGGGACCAUCCUCCAAGGCUAAAUACUCCUGACUGACCGAUAGUGAACCAGUACCGUGAGGGAAAGGCGAAAAGAACCCCGGCGAGGGGAGUGAAAAAGAACCUGAAACCGUGUACGUACAAGCAGUGGGAGCACGCUUCGGCGUGUGACUGCGUACCUUUUGUAUAAUGGGUCAGCGACUUAUAUUCUGUAGCAAGGUUAACCGAAUAGGGGAGCCGAAGGGAAACCGAGUCUUAACUGGGCGUUAAGUUGCAGGGUAUAGACCCGAAACCCGGUGAUCUAGCCAUGGGCAGGUUGAAGGUUGGGUAACACUAACUGGAGGACCGAACCGACUAAUGUUGAAAAAUUAGCGGAUGACUUGUGGCUGGGGGUGAAAGGCCAAUCAAACCGGGAGAUAGCUGGUUCUCCCCGAAAGCUAUUUAGGUAGCGCCUCGUGAAUUCAUCUCCGGGGGUAGAGCACUGUUUCGGCAAGGGGGUCAUCCCGACUUACCAACCCGAUGCAAACUGCGAAUACCGGAGAAUGUUAUCACGGGAGACACACGGCGGGUGCUAACGUCCGUCGUGAAGAGGGAAACAACCCAGACCGCCAGCUAAGGUCCCAAAGUCAUGGUUAAGUGGGAAACGAUGUGGGAAGGCCCAGACAGCCAGGAUGUUGGCUUAGAAGCAGCCAUCAUUUAAAGAAAGCGUAAUAGCUCACUGGUCGAGUCGGCCUGCGCGGAAGAUGUAACGGGGCUAAACCAUGCACCGAAGCUGCGGCAGCGACGCUUAUGCGUUGUUGGGUAGGGGAGCGUUCUGUAAGCCUGUGAAGGUGUGCUGUGAGGCAUGCUGGAGGUAUCAGAAGUGCGAAUGCUGACAUAAGUAACGAUAAAGCGGGUGAAAAGCCCGCUCGCCGGAAGACCAAGGGUUCCUGUCCAACGUUAAUCGGGGCAGGGUGAGUCGACCCCUAAGGCGAGGCCGAAAGGCGUAGUCGAUGGGAAACAGGUUAAUAUUCCUGUACUUGGUGUUACUGCGAAGGGGGGACGGAGAAGGCUAUGUUGGCCGGGCGACGGUUGUCCCGGUUUAAGCGUGUAGGCUGGUUUUCCAGGCAAAUCCGGAAAAUCAAGGCUGAGGCGUGAUGACGAGGCACUACGGUGCUGAAGCAACAAAUGCCCUGCUUCCAGGAAAAGCCUCUAAGCAUCAGGUAACAUCAAAUCGUACCCCAAACCGACACAGGUGGUCAGGUAGAGAAUACCAAGGCGCUUGAGAGAACUCGGGUGAAGGAACUAGGCAAAAUGGUGCCGUAACUUCGGGAGAAGGCACGCUGAUAUGUAGGUGAAGCGACUUGCUCGUGGAGCUGAAAUCAGUCGAAGAUACCAGCUGGCUGCAACUGUUUAUUAAAAACACAGCACUGUGCAAACACGAAAGUGGACGUAUACGGUGUGACGCCUGCCCGGUGCCGGAAGGUUAAUUGAUGGGGUCAGCGCAAGCGAAGCUCUUGAUCGAAGCCCCGGUAAACGGCGGCCGUAACUAUAACGGUCCUAAGGUAGCGAAAUUCCUUGUCGGGUAAGUUCCGACCUGCACGAAUGGCGUAAUGAUGGCCAGGCUGUCUCCACCCGAGACUCAGUGAAAUUGAACUCGCUGUGAAGAUGCAGUGUACCCGCGGCAAGACGGAAAGACCCCGUGAACCUUUACUAUAGCUUGACACUGAACAUUGAGCCUUGAUGUGUAGGAUAGGUGGGAGGCUUUGAAGUGUGGACGCCAGUCUGCAUGGAGCCGACCUUGAAAUACCACCCUUUAAUGUUUGAUGUUCUAACGUUGACCCGUAAUCCGGGUUGCGGACAGUGUCUGGUGGGUAGUUUGACUGGGGCGGUCUCCUCCUAAAGAGUAACGGAGGAGCACGAAGGUUGGCUAAUCCUGGUCGGACAUCAGGAGGUUAGUGCAAUGGCAUAAGCCAGCUUGACUGCGAGCGUGACGGCGCGAGCAGGUGCGAAAGCAGGUCAUAGUGAUCCGGUGGUUCUGAAUGGAAGGGCCAUCGCUCAACGGAUAAAAGGUACUCCGGGGAUAACAGGCUGAUACCGCCCAAGAGUUCAUAUCGACGGCGGUGUUUGGCACCUCGAUGUCGGCUCAUCACAUCCUGGGGCUGAAGUAGGUCCCAAGGGUAUGGCUGUUCGCCAUUUAAAGUGGUACGCGAGCUGGGUUUAGAACGUCGUGAGACAGUUCGGUCCCUAUCUGCCGUGGGCGCUGGAGAACUGAGGGGGGCUGCUCCUAGUACGAGAGGACCGGAGUGGACGCAUCACUGGUGUUCGGGUUGUCAUGCCAAUGGCACUGCCCGGUAGCUAAAUGCGGAAGAGAUAAGUGCUGAAAGCAUCUAAGCACGAAACUUGCCCCGAGAUGAGU